CCUACGGGAGGCAGCAGUGGGGAAUUUUGGACAAUGGGCGAAAGCCUGAUCCAGCAAUGCCGCGUGCAGGACGAAGGCCUUCGGGUUGUAAACUGCUUUUGUACGGAACGAAACGGCUUUCUCUAAUAAAGGGGGCUAAUGACGGUACCGUAAGAAUAAGCACCGGCUAACUACGUGCCAGCAGCCGCGGUAAUACGUAGGGUGCAAGCGUUAAUCGGAAUUACUGGGCGUAAAGCGUGCGCAGGCGGUUAUAUAAGACAGAUGUGAAAUCCCCGGGCUCAACCUGGGACCUGCAUUUGUGACUGUAUAGCUAGAGUACGGUAGAGGGGGAUGGAAUUCCGCGUGUAGCAGUGAAAUGCGUAGAUAUGCGGAGGAACACCGAUGGCGAAGGCAAUCCCCUGGACCUGUACUGACGCUCAUGCACGAAAGCGUGGGGAGCAAACAGGAUUAGAUACCCUGGUAGUCCACGCCCUAAACGAUGUCAACUGGUUGUUGGGUCUUCACUGACUCAGUAACGAAGCUAACGCGUGAAGUUGACCGCCUGGGGAGUACGGCCGCAAGGUUGAAACUUAAAGGAAUUGACAGCGNGAGAGNGCGAGACGACGACGAGGGAGGAGG
rnacentral:rRNA from 1 species